rnacentral:misc_RNA from 1 species
UUUGUUCUGCUGAGACGCUGCCUCUUUGACAGUGAUGAUGAGGUUCGUGAUAGGGCAACACUUUAUCUUAAUACACUUGGUGGUGAUGGUCAAGUUGUUGAAACUGAUAAAGACGUACAAGCCUUUCUCUUUGGUCCACUAGAUAUCCCGCUAGUUAACCUGGAGACAAGUUUGAAAAUUUAUGAACCUUCAGAAGAACCUUUUGAUAUUAAUUCUGUGCCAAAGGAAGUUAAGUCUCAG